AUUGAACGCUGGCGGAAUGCUUUACACAUGCAAGUCGAACGGUAGAGGGGGCAACCCCUCGAGAGUGGCGAACGGGUGAGUAAUAUAUCGGAACGUGCCCAGUCGUGGGGGAUAACGUAGCGAAAGUUACGCUAAUACCGCAUACGGUCUAAGGAUGAAAGCGGGGGAUCGCAAGACCUCGCGCGAUUGGAGCGGCCGAUAUCAGAUUAGGUAGUUGGUGGGGUAAAGGCUCACCAAGCCAACGAUCUGUAGCUGGUCUGAGAGGACGACCAGCCACACUGGAACUGGGACACGGUCCAGACUCCUACGGGAGGCAGCAGUGGGGAAUUUUGGACAAUGGACGCAAGUCUGAUCCAGCCAUUCCGCGUGCAGGAUGAAGGCCCUCGGGUUGUAAACUGCUUUUGUACGGAACGAAAAGGUCUCUCUUAAUACGGGGGACUCAUGACGGUACCGUAAGAAUAAGCACCGGCUAACUACGUGCCAGCCGCCGCAGUAACAC
rnacentral:rRNA from 1 species